UAGCACUUAUGUGUGUUAUACAACACAUUUUACUGUUCCAAUUUCGACUUAACACACCUUUGUGAGUUAAAUACACACAGUGUGCGUUAUGUAACACACAGUGUGCAGUGCUUAACACACAGCGAUGGAGGUAAAUGUAUUACAAUCCUGGACAAAAAAAGUGGCAAAAACUAGUUUAUUACUUCAAAAUAUAAUUUUAAGACAUGUUUGUCUUAAUGAUGCCCCCUUCCCCCAAUAUCAAUGUUUGGCCAAGUUAUCUGGCCUCGAAUACACCCAUGAACAUUGAUAUUAGGGGAAGGGGGGUGAAAUUCGAUGAAUUUUCUUAUUUUUUACCCUUUUGCCAAUAAUUUAUGUCCGGGAUUGUAGAUAACACACUUUCAGAAAAACACACCUUUUCUACUGUGUUAGUUAGCACGUAACGCUUCCUGUGAAAAGUGUGUUUAUUAACCCAAGUUUGAAGAUAAACACACUUUAAACGAAAAACACACUGCACAGAAGAAAUUAAACACAUUUGACCAACAAACACAUUUCCAAAACACACUUCUUAAACUAACACACUUUUACAAAAAACACGGUCUAGAUCACAGGUUAUGGCCGCCCGAUUACAGGUAUCGCCAAAUUAAUUGGCAAAUAUUUUAUCCAAAUAUUAUUUACCGGCAGCCUGAAAGCUGAAACAGCCGCAUAUUAAUUUAUUGCAGAUUCACAAGUGUUAACUGGGCAUAAUAGCAGAAAUAGUUCCCAUGGCAUGUGUGUUAUUAUGCAUUUCAUCAUACAGAUUGGAAACUGGAAAGUUAAAAGAAUGCGAGCAGUACAGGCAAUCAAAGUUGAACCUCAAAAUAUUUCAUUUCAAAUCAUAACACGCUAUGCAAUAGCAGUAACACACUACGAAGCCAAAAUAUUUGAAUAUUCGCGCGCCGCAUGAUCGAGCUUUCAAGAUUCAACCAAUGAGCUAGGAUAGUGCCGCCGUGAAAUCUAAUACCUUCUUCUUGCAAUCGAUAGUGGUAUUAGUUUGUAGUCGUUUGUAUGGGAAAUGUGCUGCCUCGUCCCCAGUCGCUUUCAAGGAGACGAAAACGAGAAAAAAUUCUUUGUUGGACGCGCGAAGAAUAACGGGAAGGCGAAGGAAAGGAAAGCUUCCCAUAUUUCAAUAUCCCAUCAUGCAUUGCCCGGCAAUGAUAUCACAGCCACUGAUCUACAUAUAUUGCAAUUGCACUGCACUGUGCCCAACGAAGGGCCUGCGGAGGAGGCAGGGAAAUGUGUGCAAUUGUGGUGCGAGGACUUGAAAGGUCAAGUGUCAGUGCGAUGAAAGCGAUACAAACUGAUUAAAAUGGCUUUAGUAUUUUCACAUUUCAACCAUAAAGAUGGCUUUAAAACAGAGUGAGGAAGAAGCGAGGAUGGUUGCAGUUUGUAUUUGAAUGACAACGGUCUGGCCGCCAAAAUAUGCAAUUCAAAACGUGUGGUUCACAGAUCAAUACUAAGAAUUCCACUUUGAGAGAGAAGUAGACGAAGUGAUUAGAACUACUUCGCCUGUAACUUCAGAGAUGUGAUAAACGUACGUCGAAAGAAAUAAGGUGAGUUAUUAUAAUAAUGGGUGAAUUAUAAUGUAAUGAUUGUUGUCUGCGAUUGUCAUAUAAUACGACUGCUUUUAAUAUUGACCUGAGGCUAUUCUCUGCAUUGUCAAUUUGCAAUUUCAGUUUAAUAAGAAGACUUGCGCGCGUUUUGAUUUACAAGUAGCUUUGUCUGAUUUAUCUUGCGUUUACUGUUUUCAUUUCAAUUCUGAAGACAAGUAUUUUAGAAGCUGAGAAACACCCUCGUAAGUUAGCUGACAAUAGCGCAGCUUACAACUGGCUGACAAUGAAGCUAGCUUACAUAGCAAAAAUCACAAUAAAUACACUUUUCAUGCUUUCAAACCUUCAAUAAUCUCAUUCUAACAAUGUAUUUAAAGGUGUGAGUUCGAAUAAUUUGUGCUUACCUUUGGAGUUUGUGUCUCAUAAUGAAUUGACAUGAAAAUAGUUACUGCGGUAUCAAUCCCUCCAAACAUGUUGCCAGAGUUGUUGUUGUCAUUAUGACAGAAGCGCUUGGGGAAAGCUUUUCGCUUGACGAAAUUCGAAACAAGUGUGACCGAGAAUGUGGCUGCAGUUCCUGUCUUCGUGGUAAAGCCAAGGGCGAAAUUUUUGACCGUGCA
rnacentral:lncRNA from 1 species